GAUGAACGCUAGCGGCAGGCUUAAUACAUGCAAGUCGAGGGGCAGCACGGUUAGCAAUAACUGGUGGCGACCGGCGCACGGGUGCGUAACACGUAUACAAUCUACCUUAAACAGGGGAUAGCCUUUCGAAAGAGAGAUUAAUACCCCGUAAUAAAUUGAACGGCAUCGUUUGAUUUUGAAAGCUCCGGCGGUUUGAGAUGAGUAUGCGUCUGAUUAGCUAGUUGGUGAGGUAACGGCUCACCAAGGCGACGAUCAGUAGGGGAUCUGAGAGGACUAACCCCCACACUGGUACUGAGACACGGACCAGACUCCUACGGGAGGCAGCAGUAAGGAAUAUUGGUCAAUGGAGGCAACUCUGAACCAGCCAUGCCGCGUGCAGGAUGACGGCCUUCUGGGUUGUAAACUGCUUUUGCCAGGGGAUAAAUUUCCAUGCGUGGAAAACUGAAGGUACCUGGUGAAUAAGCCACGGCUAACUACGUGCCAGCAGCCGCGGUAAU
rnacentral:rRNA from 1 species